AUGGCUGGUAUUUUUUGGAACGCUAGAGGUUUAGGAGAACCUGAAAAAAGAAGGUUUCUUAAAGAAACCAUCUGUGAGCAUAAGGUAGAGUUCGUUUGUAUUCAAGAGACUAAGAAAAAGGACUUCACUGGUCUGUGGUUGGCGGGAAUUAGUGAUAAUUUUACUUUUAUAUGGCUCUGGCAACGAGCUGUGGGUGCUUCAGGGGGAUUGCUUAUGGGGGUUAGGGAAGAUUUAUUCGAUGUGGAUACGUGUGUAGCUAGUAAAUAUAUGACUCGAAUGACCGUGAUGGAUAAGAGGACCGGUUUCAAAUGGAAUCUGGUCAAUGUUUACGAGGCUGCUCAUUCUAGAGAUAAA
rnacentral:rRNA from 1 species